ACGGGAGGCAGCAGUGGGGAAUAUUGGGCAGUGGGCGAAAGCCUGACCCAGCAACGCCGCGUGAAGGAAGAAGGUCUUCGGAUUGUAAACUUCUUUUGUGAGGGACGAAGGAAUUGACGGUACCUCAUGAAUAAGCCACGGCUAACUACGUGCCAGCAGCCGCGGUAAUACGUAGGUGGCAAGCGUUAUCCGGAUUUACUGGGUGUAAAGGGCGCGUAGGCGGGGAAGCAAGUCAGAUGUGAAAUCCAUGGGCUCAACUCAUGAACUGCAUUUGAAACUGUUUUUCUUGAGUGUCGGAGAGGUAGACGGAAUUCCUAGUGUAGCGGUGAAAUGCGUAGAUAUUAGGAGGAACAUCGGUGGCGAAGGCGGCUUACUGGGCCUUUACUGACGCUGAGGCACGAAAGCGUGGGGAGCAAACAGGAUUAGAUACCCUGGUA
rnacentral:rRNA from 1 species